rnacentral:rRNA from 1 species
AUUGAACGCUGGCGGCAGGCCUAACACAUGCAAGUCGAACGAGUGGCGGACGGGUGAGUAAUAUCUGGGAACCUGCCUGGUGGCGGGGGAUAACUACUGGAAACGGUGGCUAAUACCGCAUACCAUCGGAUGUGCCCAUAUGGGAUUAGCUAGUAGGUGGGGUAAAGGCUCACCUAGGCGACGAUCCCUAGCUGGUCUGAGAGGAUGACCAGCCACACUGGAACUGAGACACGGUCCAGACUCCUACGGGAGGCAGCAGUGGGGAAUAUUGAACAAUGGGCGAAAGCCUGAUGCAGCCAUGCCGCGUGUAUGAAGAAGGCCUUCGGGUUGUAAAGUACUUUUAGCGGGGAGGCGGUACCCGCAGAAGAAGCACCGGCUAACUCCGUGCCAGCAGCCGCGGUAAUAC